GACGAACGCUGGCGGCGUGCUUAACACAUGCAAGUCGAACGGAAAGGCCCUGCUUUUGUGGGGUGCUCGAGUGGCGAACGGGUGAGUAACACGUGAGUAACCUGCCCUUUACUUUGGGAUAACUUCAGGAAACUGGGGCUAAUACCGGAUAGGAGCUCCUGCUGCAUGGUGGGGGUUGGAAAGUUUCGGCGGUUGGGGAUGGACUCGCGGCUUAUCAGCUUGUUGGUGGGGUAGUGGCUUACCAAGGCUUUGACGGGUAGCCGGCCUGAGAGGGUGAGCGGCCACAUUGGGCCUGAGAUACGGCCCAGACUCCUACGGGAGGCAGCAGUGGGGAAUAUUGCACAAUGGGCGGAAGCCUGAUGCAGCAACGCCGCGUGCGGGAUGACGGCCUUCGGGUUGUAAACCGCUUUCGCCUGUGACGAAGCGUGAGUGACGGUAAUGGGUAAAGAAGCACCGGCUAACUACGUG
rnacentral:rRNA from 1 species